rfam:Lupinus angustifolius cultivar Tanjil chromosome LG05, whole genome shotgun sequence.
AUGUGGCUUAGUUAGGAGGCACAUAUUAAUCUGAAUCAAAUUCAUUUUUGGUUCAUUUAUAGAGAAAGACAUUUUGAGAAGACAUUAUGGUAUCUUAAAUCUAUUGUCCUUCAAGAAGUCUUUCACAUUA